CUCUGGCUGCACAUCAGGGUGUUCAUGUGACAGAGGGCAGGGUGAGAGCAGCUGCAGAUGAGGUACCUGUGCUCCCACAGUCUCCACCUGGUUAUCAGUAAUAGGAAUGACAACACUACUCCUGGCAGGUCUGCCAGUGACCUCCACUGAAGUGCCCUCCAAUCAUCUCUUCCCUCGGUGGAUGAUAUCAACUGGUGCCUUGUUCAUAGCUGGCAAGCUUCUCUCUAGUUCACCACAGUCUCCUACCCAUCAAGGGAUACAUGCUUACCAAGAGUCAAGUGGGAUCACUCCUCAAACUGUUUAUGAUGGUCCUAUUUGCUGAUGAAAAUAGAACAUUCAGGGUGGGGACGUAGCUCAGAGAUAGAACAGUUGCCUAGCAUGUGCAAAAGAUCUAGGUUUGAUCUCCAGCACCACAAAAAGAAAAGAAAACUUAAUUAAAC